rnacentral:rRNA from 1 species
UACAGAGGGUGCAAGCGUUGUUCGGAAUUAUUGGGCGUAAAGGGCGCGUAGGCGGUGCGGUAAGUCUGUAGUGAAAUCUCUGGGCUCAACUCAGAGUCUGCUGCAGAAACUGCCGUGCUUGAGUGUGGGAGAGGUGAGUGGAAUUCCCGGUGUAGCGGUGAAAAUGCGUAGAUAUCGGGGAGGAACACCUGUGGCGAAAGCGGCUCACUGGACCACACUGACGCUGAGGCGGCGAAAAGCUAGGGGAGCAAACAGGGAUUAAGAAACCCUAGU